ACGCUGGCGGCGUGCCUAAUACAUGCAAGUAGAACGCUGAAGGAGGAGCUUGCUUCUCUGGAUGAGUUGCGAACGGGUGAGUAACGCGUAGGUAACCUGCCUGGUAGUGGGGGAUAACUAUUGGAAACGAUAGCUAAUACCGCAUAACAGUAGAUGUUGCAUGACAUUUGCUUAAAAGGUGCAAUUGCAUCACUACCAGAUGGACCUGCGUUGUAUUAGCUAGUUGGUGGGGUAACGGCUCACCAAGGCGACGAUACAUAGCCGACCUGAGAGGGUGAUCGGCCACACUGGGACUGAGACACGGCCCAGACUCCUACGGGAGGCAGCAGUAGGGAAUCUUCGCCAAUGGACGGAAGUCUGACCGAGCAACGCCGCGUGAGUGAAGAAGGUUUUCGGAUCGUAAAGCUCUGUUGUAAGAGAAGAACGAGUGUGAGAGUGGAAAGUUCACACUGUGACGGUAUCUUACCAGAAAGGGACGGCUAACUACGUGCCAGCAGCCGCGGUAAUACGUAGGUCCCGAGCGUUGUCCGGAUUUAUUGGGCGUAAAGCGAGCGCAGGCGGUUAGAUAAGUCUGAAGUUAAAGGCUGUGGCUUAACCAUAGUACGCUUUGGAAACUGUUUAACUUGAGUGCAAGAGGGGAGAGUGGAAUUCCAUGUGUAGCGGUGAAAUGCGUAGAUAUAUGGAGGAACACCGGUGGCGAAAGCGGCUCUCUGGCUUGUAACUGACGCUGAGGCUCGAAAGCGUGGGGAGCAAACAGGAUUAGAUACCUGGGUAGUCCACGCCGUAAACGAUGAGUGCUAGGUGUUAGACCCUUUCCGGGGUUUAGUGCCGCAGCUAACGCAUUAAGCACUCCGCCUGGGGAGUACGACCGCAAGGUUGAAACUCAAAGGAAUUGACGGGGGCCCGCA
rnacentral:rRNA from 1 species